rnacentral:misc_RNA from 1 species
GCGAAAUGCGAUAAGUAAUGUGAAUUGCAGAAUUCAGUGAAUCAUCGAAUCUUUGAACGCACCUUGCGCUCCUUGGUAUUCCUUGGAGCAUGCCUGUUUGAGUAUCAUGAAAUCUUCAAAGUAAAUCUUUUGUUAACUCAAUUGGUUUCUACUUUGGUAUUGGAGGUCUUUGCAGCUUCACACCUGCUCCUCUUUGUUCAUUAGCUGGAUCUCAGUGUUAUGCUUGGUUCCACUCGGCGUGAUAAGUUAUCUAUCGCUGAGGACACUGUAAAAGGUGGCCAAGGUAAAUGCAGAUGAACCGCUUCUAAUAGUCCAUUGACUUGGACAAUACUUUUAUGAUCUGAUCUCAAAUCAGGUAGGACUACCCGCUGAACUUAA